UGGUAGUCCACGCUGUAAACGGUGGGUACUAGGUGUGGGGUCCAUUCCACGGGUUCCGUGCCGUAGCUAACGCUUUAAGUACCCCGCCUGGGGAGUACGGCCGCAAGGCUAAAACUCAAAGGAAUUGACGGGGCCCCGCACAAGCGGCGGAGCAUGCGGAUUAAUUCGAUGCAACGCGUAGAACCUUACCUGGGUUUGACAUGGAUCGGGAGUGCUCAGAGAUGGGUGUGCCUCUUUUGGGGUCGGUUCACAGGUGGUGCAUGGCUGUCGUCAGCUCGUGUCGUGAGAUGUUGGGUUAAGUCCCGCAACGAGCGCAACCCUUGUUCACUGUUGCCAGCACGUUAUGGUGGGGACUCAGUGGAGACCGCCGGGGUCAACUCGGAGGAAGGUGGGGAUGACGUCAAGUCAUCAUGCCCCUUAUGUCCAGGGCUUCACGCAUGCUACAAUGGCUGGUACAGAGAGUGGCGAGCCUGUGAGGGUGAGCGAAUCUCGGAAAGCCGGUCUCAGUUCGGAUUGGGGUCUGCAACUCGACCUCAUGAAGUCGGAGUCGCUAGUAAUCGCAGAUCAGCAACGCUGCGGUGAAUACGUUCCCGGGGCUUGUACACACCGCCCGUCAAGUCAUGAAAGUUGGUAACACCCGAAGCCGGUGGAAUAACCGUUGUGGGGGAGCCGUCGAA
rnacentral:rRNA from 1 species